rnacentral:misc_RNA from 1 species
AAGAGAUAGGGUUCUUCCGAGCCCGACCUCCAACCCAUUGUUUACCAAACCACUGUUGCCUCGGCGGGUCGCCGGCACCCUUAAUCCGGUGCCGCCGUCGGCCUCCGCGCUCUCGAGUGCCCGCCGCAGGACUACAUAAACUCUUUUGAAACAAGUACAAUCUGAGUGGAUAUUUAAUGCUUCAAUUA